rnacentral:rRNA from 1 species
GACGAACGCUGGCGGGCGUGCCUAAUACAUGCAAGUAGAACGCUGAAGAGAGGAGCUUGCUCUUCUUGGAUGAGUUGCGAACGGGUGAGUAACGCGUAGGUAACCUGCCUUGUAGCGGGGGAUAACUAUUGGAAACGAUAGCUAAUACCGCAUAACAAUGGAUGACACAUGUCAUUUAUUUGAAAGGGGCAAUUGCUCCACUACAAGAUGGACCUGCGUUGUAUUAGCUAGUAGGUGAGGUAAUGGCUCACCUAGGCGACGAUACAUAGCCGACCUGAGAGGGUGAUCGGCCACACUGGGACUGAGACACGGCCCAGACUCCUACGGGAGGCAGCAGUAGGGAAUCUUCGGCAAUGGGGGCAACCCUGACCGAGCAACGCCACGUGAGUGAAGAAGGUUUUCGGAUCGUAAAGCUCUGUUGUAAGUCAAGAACGGGUGUGAGAGUGGAAAGUUCACACUGUGACGGUAGCUUACCAGAAAGGGACGGCUAACUACGUGCCAGCAGCCGCGGUAAUACGUAGGUCCCGAGCGUUGUCCGGAUUUAUUGGGCGUAAAGCGAGCGCAGGCGGUUUGAUAAGUCUGAAGUUAAAGGCUGUGGCUCAACCAUAGUUCGCUUUGGAAACUGUCAAACUUGAGUGCAGAAGGGGAGAGUGGAAUUCCAUGUGUAGCGGUGAAAUGCGUAGAUAUAUGGAGGAACACCGGUGGCGAAAGCGGCUCUCUGGUCUGUAACUGACGCUGAGGCUCGAAAGCGUGGGGAGCGAACAGG